GUCUUUGCACAUUGUCUCUCUCUUUCACUUUGUACCUUGUGGCGUCGAAAUACAAACGGACCAAUUUCCACUCAACUAAAGCUUGUUAAAGCAGCAGUCGCUCUUCAGUUGAAUCCGUCUGAUGUUUCCAGCACAGUGACAUCAUGGAGGCUGCAGCAGCAGGUGAUCUGCCUCCUCUGAAGCGCAGUAGAAGCUAUGAUCUCAUACCUCCUAACA